AUUAAAUUGGCAGAAAAGUGCAUUAAGUUUAGAACUUAAUAAUAUAAAUAUUUUAUAUUUAAUA
rnacentral:tRNA from 1 species